GUACUCGCUUCGGCUUUACACAUACUAAAACUGGAACGAUACAGAGCAAAUUAGAAUGGCCCCUGGGCAACAUGACACGCAAAAUCGUUAAACGUAGUAUAGAGGU